GGCUCCGUAGUUCAAUGGAUAGAAUAAGGGUUUCCGGUACCCUCGAUGCAGGUUCGAUUCCCGCCGGAGCUACCA
rnacentral:tRNA from 1 species